UGCUGGAAGAAGAGUCCCCUGACCGCCUGGACUCUGCGGUGCGGCAGCAAGCCAUGCUGGCCAUCGCCACAAUGAGAUACCUGCCCCAGCUGCUGGCUUAGCUGGGCCUGCCCACAACAUGGCCCUGAUGACCCCACCCAAGCCCCAUUGGAUGGUGCAGUCUGUCGGGCCUCCUCACUCACCCUCAGUGGGGCAGGCGGGAGUGCAGAGGGAUGUCUCUGGGCUUUUCCCCUGAAGGGAGAGGCAGGAGAUGGAGUGGGCGUUGUGCCCCACCUGCCAGCACUGUCCUCGGCCCCUGGGUCUGCAUCAUCGGAGAAGGACAAUUGGUACCUACCUGCAGGGCUUCCCCACCUCCUAUGGCUACCAGCAUGGGCACUCCCACCACCCAUGGCUGUGUCCACCUUCCCAGGGCAUCUGGGCACUGCUCCCUGCCCCAGCACUUCACAGGCACCUCUCUCUCCUGCCAGCAAAGAGUGACCAUUCCUGAAGGACACCCAGAACAACAGGCUGCUCUGCACCUGCAUCGCCAGCAUCUUCUCCCUUCCUCCCCAAGAGCGGAUGCAAAGCCUGGAUGCUUCACUCUACCCUCAGGAAGGUGCCCGCCGUGGGCAGAAGGGGUUUGAGCCAGCCUCCUGUAAGCAAGAGGGGCCAGAGAAGGGGUGCCCACCCUCUGCUCCCCUUGCAAACCCUGGAUGCUCUGGAUGAGAUGCUGAAGGUGCUGGUGUUUGAGUCACAGGCCUCUGAUCUCUGGCAGCUGCAGAACAUCUUGCAGGUCUGCUGUUUGCAAAGAGUUAGGGGGGGCAGUGGCAGGGCUUGUUCCUCACCCCAAAGGGAAGUGACCCUCUUGAGUCAAGGGGCCAGCCCUGCCUGGGACCAGGCACAGAGAACAUGCUGUGGGGAGAGGCCCAUCUCUGGAGGGGGGAGGCAGGCAGGGGCCCCACCAUGGUCUUGGCUGAGCUGGCUCUCUCUCCUGGUGGCAGAGUCCUUUCCCCCGCCAGCAUCACGGGAAAGCCUUGCCCUCUGCGCCUCAGCCCCUUACCCCCAAAAGCCUUCCCUUGCACCAAAGCAGUGGAAGGAGUUUGGCAUGAGGAGGGGAUGCAAGGCCCUUUCUGGAGGAGUGCAUGGAAGGCAGCAGAGGUGGAAACCCUGACAGGCACUUAGCAGAGCUGUUGCUCCUGGAGUUGCUGUCAGGUCCCAGCACUGACCAGCAGCUUUGGUCUCCUCAGGUGCUGCUGCCCUUCACAGCAUCCCAGAAAGUGGCUGAGUGCCAGAGGGCCGUGGGAAGGAUUGUGUGGCUGAGCUGGCUCCUGGGCAGCUCUUCUCUGCUGGAGGUAACUGGGUGGCUCCAGGCCAUGGGCAACCCUCCUCUCAGGCAGGCUCAGGCAGGAGGAGAGGGCACCUGGCUUGAUGUGCUCUUGGAGAUGGGCAGGCCAGCGGGAGCAGGAGGAGGAGCUCCCAUCAGCCAUGGGAAGAAGGAGUGUGUGUGUGGAGGAGCUGCGAGCCGGGGAAAGACCCAAGCUCUGACUCCUUGUUUAGGCACCUCAGUGGCAUGGGCUUACAGGGAUGGCAGUCAAAAGCCUUGCAAGGCAAGGCAGGGAGGCAGCACGCUCCUCACCUUGUCAGGGCUGCCACAUGCUGGCUCUGGGGCUGCCUGAAGGGAGGGGAGGUUGCCCUUGGCUGGGCAACAGAACUGGCAGGAGGCAGGGGUAGGCAGGCUGGGACACACAGCUCUGUACCCCACUGGUCACUGUUGGGAGCAGGGCUGGGCAGAUGCCUCCAAAGCUUUGGCUCAUGUGGCACUCAGGCCUGGACCCGCUCUUGUGUGGGGGUCAGGGCUUUGGUCCCCGCUGCUACAGCUUAGCCUUGCUGUUAUGGCCCUUGGAGCAGUGGUUUAGGAACUGUCCUGAUAACCAGCAGACUGGCAAGCCUGUGGCAGCAGCGUCCCAGGGCUGCUGUCCUGCUUCAGAGCAGAAAGCCAGACCAAACUCUUCUGCCUUUCUGCAUCCUAAUAGGCAAUUUCCCCUUUGUCACCUGGAAAUAAGCCCGUGUCCUCCCUAGGAGGCUCUCUGCUCCCCACACGGUAGUGACAGCCCCUCUCUGCAAGCCACGGAGCUCUCUUUGACACCUUCAGUCUGCCAUCUCCAACUCACCAUCAUUCUUCCUGACUGCUCUGUUUCCCCUCCUGCACAGGUAGAAAGGUGGCAGAUGACAAUCUAGCGCCUCCAGAGAUGAGUGGCAGGGGGAAGCCCCAAACACCUUCCGGCCCAGCAAUGCCACUGAUGAGAGCAUGGUAUUUGAGAGUUUUCUCUUCCCCUCCGAGAGGACAGACUUCCUCCUGACAACCAUUGAGGGCAUGACUGACCCAAGGUGGUUGCCAGCAUAAUGGAGGCAGUCUUGAGAGACCCUGACUCUGUGCUGGACAAGGUAAGCAUAUAGAGGUCUCACCAGAAUACUGAAUCCAGGAAUGUGUGACCUCCAAAACCCCAAAGUUCCUAAUAAAGCCAACAACUCUCUUUAAUCAGAAGGUGCCAGAAUAUUCUGUAUCCCUCUUAAUACAUAUGCUGGUGCAGUUUUCUGUCCUCCUGUGCAUCAAGUACCUAAAAAUAUAACCUCUGGACUUGGUCCUUGC